CAAUGAAGGAAGCAUGGUAGUGUGCACAGAAAUUGAAUUGUCUUGGGUCCACAUGUCUGCUCUCUCUGAUCCCUGAUUUGAGGGCCUGGUUGCGACCCACAUUC